AUGGGAGCUAUUCGCCCGUACGAGGGUGAAGGGGCUUUGACCAAGGACAACAGGCUUCUGGGCGUGUUCACGCUCACUGGCAUCCCUCCAGCGCCAAGAGGCGUGCCAAAUUUCAAAGUGACGUUCGAAAUCGAGGAAAACGGCGUUCUGAAGGUCGUGGCAAAGGACAGGGAGACCGGAAACAAGAACAGCAUCACCAUCGCCAGCGACAAGGGUGGGCUGAGCAAGUACGAGAUAGAUCGUAUGGUGCGUGAUGCUAACAAGUGCAAGUCUGAGGAGAAGAAGCAGAUGAAGAACGUGAAGGAGGAACGCGGAUAG
rnacentral:rRNA from 1 species